rnacentral:misc_RNA from 1 species
GUUUGGGGUUUGUUUUACGAAAAGAUUAAAUAAAUGAAAGAUUAUAUUUCAGAUUAUAAAAAAAAACUUUAGUUCACUAAAAUGGAAGAUUGUUGUCAAGGUAACCUUGGACAUAAACAACUAAUGUCCUGUUUCCAUCAGCCACUUCUGAACAGUUCUGCUUGACCCUAUGAUCGCGCUGUGUAGUGACGAUCUUCCCUGCCAUAGACCUCACAGAGUUCGCAUUAUUACUGCCUUUGUGCCACAUCUCACUUACACACGAACUCAGCUUCUUUCACCGAUCGCCUUCAGAUGUGUUGGUGGUAGCACGCAUCCUGUGGGUCGUCGAAGAGAAAGAUCUGUUUUUAGUGGCAGAACUAGUAGCCAGACUCGUUUGGAAAAAGAAAAAAGAAGACAAGCGGUGGGAUUUAAUUCAAUUUCAAAAUUACCUUAUCCAUUUUUUCCAGUUUUGGAUAAAAAAGUGUGUGAGAAAUACGGCAUGAACAUUACAGGAAGCAAAAGAUACGUUAUAGACGAAAAAGAAGUAUUUUCAUUUCGAUACAUUAUGGGAGAGGAUGCAUACAGCAAAAUCUGGUAUUCCCGCUUACGUGGAAAGUCGCAAAAGGUGGUGGCUAUAAAGAUGUAUGAUCGGAGUAAGUGCUCAGACGAGCUCGCAAACACCGAAAUUCUGGUCCUCAAAGUCGCCAUUGGCUCUCCAUUUAUUGUUCAGCUCCAUAGCAGCUUCCAGACUCCAACACAUUGGGCUAUCGUGAUGAAGCUUGCCAGACGCCGUACAUUACACGAGAAACUACGGGCCAUGAGAACCUAUUCAGAGAUCGUCUCCCGAUUUUACGCUGCUGAAAUUGCGGAAGCUCUGUUUUUUCUGCAUAGUCGUGGAAUUGUACUGAGAUACUUGAACUUGGAUAACCUGGUCUUGACAGAGGAAGGUCAUGCACAGUUGUGCGACUUUAGUCUAAGUUAUUUGGGUGACAUCGAUGAACAAAUUGUCAACAAACCAAUGGUAACUGACCUUAAGCUGCAGUUUCCCGCACCCGAGCUCAUCGUGGGAAACUCUUUUGACAAAGCAGUGGACUGGUGGUCGUACGGUGUUAUUUUAUACCGAAUGAUAUGUGGACAGUAUCAUUCGCUUCAAGCAGUAUCCAUUUCUAGAACACGAAGGCAAGACAUGGACAGAGUUGGAAGAAAACGUGUAUAGGAUGGAAGUCUAUCCUUCCCGCAUUUCACCUAAAGCCAGAAGGUUUCUCACAAAGCUUCUUACAAAAAAAAGUCAUGUGCGGCUUGGACGAGGGGAACGCGAAGAAGGGGAGAUAAGAAAUGCAGCUUUCUUCAGGACUGUUGACUGGCAUCUCAUUCGCCAACAAGUAAUACCUGCUCCGUUUACUUCUAUUACCA